AUUGAACGCUGGCGGCAGGCUUAACACAUGCAAGUCGAGCGGAGAUGAGGUGCUUGCACCUUAUCUUAGCGGCGGACGGGUGAGUAAUGCUUAGGAAUCUGCCUAUUAGUGGGGGACAACAUUCCGAAAGGAAUGCUAAUACCGCAUACGUCCUAUGGGAGAAAGCAGGGGAUCUUCGGACCUUGCGCUAAUAGAUGAGCCUAAGUCGGAUUAGCUAGUUGGUGGGGUAAAGGCCUACCAAGGCGACGAUCUGUAGCGGGUCUGAGAGGAUGAUCCGCCACACUGGGACUGAGACACGGCCCAGAAUCCUACGGGAGGCAGCAGUGGGGAAUAUUGGACAAUGGGGGGAACCCUGAUCCAGCCAUGCCGCGUGUGUGAAGAAGGCCUUAUGGUUGUAAAGCACUUUAAGCGAGGAGGAGGCUACUGAGACUAAUACUCUUGGAUAGUGGACGUUACUCGCAGAAUAAGCACCGGCUAACUCUGUGCCAGCCGCCGCCGUAA
rnacentral:rRNA from 1 species